rnacentral:rRNA from 1 species
AGUGAACGCUGGCGGUAGGCCUAACACAUGCAAGUCGAACGGCAGCACAGCAGUAGCAAUACUGUGGGUGGCGAGUGGCGGACGGGUGAGGAAUACAUCGGAAUCUACCUUUUCGUGGGGGAUAACGUAGGGAAACUUACGCUAAUACCGCAUACGACCUUAGGGUGAAAGCGGAGGACCUUCGGGCUUCGCGCGGAUAGAUGAGCCGAUGUCGGAUUAGCUAGUUGGCGGGGUAAAGGGACCCACCAAGGCUACGAUCCGUAGCUGGUCUGAGAGGAUGAUCAGCCACACUGGAACUGAGACACGGUCCAGACUCCUACGGGAGGCAGCAGUGGGGAAUCUUGCGCAAUGCGCGAAAGACGUGACGCAGCAACGCCGCGUGGGGGAAGACGGCCUCGGUUGUAACCCGUUACUAC